rnacentral:rRNA from 1 species
ACGAACGCUGGCGGCAGGCUUAACACAUGCAAGUCGAGCGCCCCGCAAGGGGAGCGGCAGACGGGUGAGUAACGCGUGGGAACGUACCUUUUGYUACGGAAUAACUCAGGGAAACUUGUGCUAAUACCGUAUGUGCCCUUCGGGGGAAAGAUUUAUCGGCAAAGGAUCGGCCCGCGUUGGAUUAGCUAGUUGGUGAGGUAAAGGCUCACCAAGGCGACGAUCCAUAGCUGGUCUGAGAGGAUGAUCAG